AGGGCAGCAGUCCCACCUCUUUAUAACACACACACACACACACACACACACACACGUGCUAGCGUGUGCACAGAGUUGCUGGUGAGAUCAUGGUAAACACUAGCCUGGUUGGGGGAUCAAAAUAACAGAAUGAUUUCCCUUCAUGGCUGGCGUAGAGGAACAAAUUAGACGGAUAAAUUAGCAGUUCCCAAAGACAUUAGCCACCACCCAGCUCACACAGUGAGCAUCUGACACACGGGAAGGAGGGGAAAGGCGGGGGACUCUCCAAGUCUUGGCCUAUGAAUAGACGCUCUUCCUCCCUCUCGGGGAGGGAAGCCAGAGUGCCCAGAACACCAAGGGGCAAGCCUCUGAAUAGUUUUAUUUUAAAAGACAAGCCUAAUUACCACUUUUUCUGGUUCCUUGAAGAAGAAGAAAGAGUUCCCCUGCAAGUCUCCAUUCACCGGGACCCGGUGCCCACCUGCAGGGCGGUGGAGUGGAUUAAAUGAGACACUUCGAGGCAAGAGUUUGCGCAGGUGCCAAUGUUGUCUUACCCAGCAACAAUUUCACUAGAGGAAGAGAGAGGGAGAGAAACAUCAAUGAUGAC